CAGCUGGUCAGUGACGCUUGUCACUGAUCAGCUAGGGGGCUAUUUAAACUGGCUCAGCCAGCAUUUGUUUGCUGGCGAGACGGUGGUGUGCUGGUGUUUUGUUUAUAUCCAUCAUAGGUAACUUAUUAUCUUGCUCUUGCUUUUGGGUUUGACCUUCUGUGGAUGGAUAUAGGUCUGCCAUCUGCUGUUAUUUAUUGUCACUGCAGGAUUUUGUCCCUAUUGGCAUUGUUAAUUUUGCUGUACUUCCCUACAGGAUUGAUUGACAUCUCCUUGUUAAUUUAUGGGCUGUGUCAACUUGUGCAGUCAAUUUACCCAUUGAUCAGUCUGCUAUUCUCUACGUCUAUGGCAGUUUUAUCAGCGCCCACCAUUUGAACUUUAUAAUUUUUUCAUAAUAGGGAUGUAUGGAGGCUAUGUUAGCCCCUACUUAGGGAUAUCAGCCGUGAGUCAUUGUCUCAUGGUAUUCAACCCCUAACUAGCUUUUGUUUCCUUUUUCAGUUUGAAUCAGUAACCCCCUGCAAUCGCAUUGAGGUUUGGGGUUUCCAUGAUGUCGCCCUGAUAUGCAGCGCCUCGCCUUGUUUUUUUGACUUGGGACUGUAAUAAAUUUACUGAUUGACCCUCACAUCCCUGAAGAAGGCAACGAUUUGCCGAAACAUGUCGGGAUAUUGUGAUACAACUAUUCAAAAUCAGUGUUAUUUCUAGCUUACUAUCCAUGUUUUUAAUCAAUUUAUACAUUGAAUAAAAUAUUGUUCCUA